CGCAAACUGACAAACACAAAAUAUUACACAAAACAAUACGGUAUGCUGACAACACCUUACAAAUUCAACCUCUCUCGCCUCAAAUAAAUACUUCAACCGACGCUUACCUUUCUGCCAUUGUGUCCUAACGUCUUCCUCAAGAGUUCAUCCUUGUGUCAGCCACAGAAGAGAAGCAAUGAUAUGUUUCUAAAGCCAUUUUUCACACUGCUAAAAAAUUGCCUUCCCCUUGCCCUCCUACAGCGAAGCUUACGUUCCGAUGGCUUCGAUGAGCGCGC